GCAUAUCAAUAAGCGGAGGAAAAGAAACCAACAGGGAUUGCCUCAGUAACGGCGAAGUGAAGCGGCAACAGCUCAAAUUUGAAAUCUGGCGGCCUCUGGGCCGUCCGAGUUGUAAUUUGAAGAGGAUGCUUUUGGCGAGGUGCCUUCCGAGUGCCCUGGAACGGGACGCCACAGAGGGUGAGAGCCCCGUAUGGUUGGACGCCGAGCCUCUGUAAAGCUCCUUCGACGAGUCGAGUAGUUUGGGAAUGCUGCUCAAAAUGGGAGGUAAACCCCUUCUAAAGCUAAAUACUGGCCAGAGACCGAUAGCGCACAAGUAGAGUGAUCGAAAGAUGAAAAGCACUUUGAAAAGAGAGUUAAACAGCACGUGAAAUUGUUGAAAGGGAAGCGCUUGCGACCAGACUUGUGCUCGUCGAAUCAGCCGCCGCUCGUCGGCGGCGCACUUCGGCGGGCUCAGGCCAGCAUCAGUUCGCUGCAGGGGGAGAAAGGCGAUGGGAAUGUGGCUCUUCGGAGUGUUAUAGCCCGCCGCGCAAUACCCCUCGGCGGACUGAGGACCGCGCAUCUGCAAGGAUGCUGGCGUAAUGGUCGUCAGCGACCCGUCUUGAAACACGGACCAAGGAGUCGUCCUAAUAUGCGAGUGUUCGGGUGUAAAACCCCUGCGCGUAAUGAAAGUGAACGGAGGUGAGAGCUUCGGCGCAUCAUCGACCGAUCCUGAUGUUCUCGGAUGGAUUUGAGUAAGAGCAUAUUGGGCCGGACCCGAAAGAAGGUGAACUAUGCCUGUAUAGGGUAAAGCCAGAGGAAACUCUGGUGGAGGCUCGCAGCGGUUCUGACGUGCAAAUCGAUCGUCAAAUAUGGGCAUGGGGGCGAAAGACUAAUCGAACCUUCUAGUAGCUGGUUUCCGC
rnacentral:rRNA from 1 species